rnacentral:rRNA from 1 species
UACGGAGGGGGCUAGCGUUAUUCGGAAUUACUGGGCGUAAAGCGUGCGUAGGUGGUUUUUUAAGUCCGUUGUGAAAGCCCUGGGCUCAACCUGGGAAUGGCAGUGGAUACUGGAAAGCUAGAGUGCGGUAGAGGGUAGUGGAAUUCCCGGUGUAGCAGUGAAAUGCGUAGAGAUCGGGAGGAACACCAGUGGCGAAGGCGGCUACCUGGACCAGCACUGACACUGAGGCACGAAAGCGUGGGGGAGCAAACAGG